rnacentral:rRNA from 1 species
AUACGGAGGGUGCAAGCGUUAAUCGGAAUUACUGGGCGUAAAGCGUACGUAGGCGGUUCGUUAAGUUAGAUGUGAAAGCCCCGGGCUUAACCUGGGAACUGCAUUUAAAACUGGCGAACUAGAGUUGAGUAGAGGGGAGUGGAAUUUCAGGUGUAGCGGUGAAAUGCGUAGAGAUCUGAAGGAACACCAGUGGCGAAGGCGACUCCCUGGACUCGAACUGACGCUGAGGUACGAAAGCGUGGGGAGCAAACAGGAUUAGAUACCCUAGUAGUCC